rnacentral:rRNA from 1 species
AGAGUUUGAUCCUGGCUCAGGAUGAACGCUGGCUACAGGCUUAACACAUGCAAGUCGUGGGGAAACGACUGGGGAGCUUGCUUCCCAGGGCGUCGACCGGCGCACGGGUGAGUAACGCGUAUCCAACCUGCCCGCAAGUGGGGAAUAACCCGCGGAAACGCGGCCUAAUGCCCCAUGUGGUUCGAAGAGGGCAUCUGACUUGAACCAAAGAUUCAUCGCUUGCGGAUGGGGAUGCGUCUGAUUAGGUAGUCGGCGGGGUAACGGCCCACCGAGCCUUCGAUCAGUAGGGGUUCUGAGAGGAAGGUCCCCCACAUUGGAACUGAGACACGGUCCAAACUCCUACGGGAGGCAGCAGUGAGGAAUAUUGGUCAAUGGGAUGGCCUGAACCAGCCAAGUAGCGUGCGGGAUGACGGCCCUAUGGGUUGUAAACCGCUUUUGCAGGGGAAUAAAGUGCGGUACGCGUACCGUUUUGUAUGUACCCUGAGAAUAAGGACCGGCUAAUUCCGUGCCAGCAGCCGCGGUAAUACGGAAGGUCCGGGCGUUAUCCGGAUUUAUUGGGUUUAAAGGGAGCGCAGGCUGGAUAUUAAGCGUGACGUGAAAUGCCGCGGCUCAACCGUGGAAGUGCGUCGCGAACUGGUGUCCUUGAGUGUAUUCGACGUCAGCGGAAUUCGUGGUGUAGCGGUGAAAUGCUUAGAUAUCACGAAGAACUCCGAUUGCGAAGGCAGCUGGCGAGGCUACAACUGACGCUAAAGCUCGAAGGUGCGGGUAUCGAACAGGAUUAGAUACCCUGGUAGUCCGCACGGUAAACGAUGAAUGCCCGCUGUAUGCGAUA